UGAGGAAUAUUGGGCAAUGGGCGAAAGCCUGACCCAGCGACGCCGCGUGCACGAAGAAGGCCUUCGGGUUGUAAAGUGCUGUCACGGGGUAAGAAUGGACCUUCGGGUCUUGACGUUCCCUCGAGAGGAAGCUCUGGCUAAACACGUGCCAGCAGCCGCGGUAAUACGUGUAGAGCUAGCGUUGCUCGGAUUCACUGGGCUUAAAGGGUGCGUAGGCGGCUUAGUAAGUAAGGUGUGAAAUCCUGCGGCUUACCCGUAGAAUUGCAUCUUAUACUGCUUUGCUAGAGUGUCGAAGAGGUUAGCGGAAUUCUGGGUGUAGCGGUGAAAUGCUUAGAUAUCCAGGAGAACGCCGGUGACGAAGGUGGCUAACUGGUCGAUAACUGACGCUGAGGCACGAAAGCCAGGGGAGCAAACG
rnacentral:rRNA from 1 species